GUUGUCCAACAGAGAUGACAGCUUAGCCACCAUUCUCCUGUCACUCACCACCUUCACUGGGUCCAGAGGCCAUCCUAGAACAGGGCUGGCCCUCUGUUCAGUCUCUUCCUGUCCCCGGCAGAGAUGCUGCCGGGGGGUGUUUGUGUCUGUGGAAGUCUAUCACCAGCUCCUUGGUUUUUCCAGUGUUCCAAUUCUGCUGACACCAGUCCACAAAGUCUUGGGUCAGUUCUCUGUACUCCCUAUCAUCCCCAUCAGUAAUGAGGCCAACUACUGCAGAGUCAUCAGAGAACUUCUGCAGGAAGCACUGGGUGGAGUUGUGGGAGAAAUCAGCAGUGUAGAUGUUGAAGAGGAACAGAGCCAGAACUGUUCCCUUUUUUUUCUUUUUUUUCUUGUCACAUCAGUGUAAUAAGACCACUGCACAAGUUACAAAACAUAAACAGACCCCAGCCCUAUAUUUAAUAUUCCUCACGUUAUAUAUGAUACUGUGUGCAAUAUGGGGUAUUUAAGUUGCCUCCUCUAAGCCUUUUAAGCUCUGUGUUCAUUUUGAAGUUUACAGAUGGUUUACAGAAAACAGUUUCUUUUUGUUCCUUGCAGUCUCCCGUUUGGCUCUUUUGCCAUCAGAAUUGUUGUCUAAGGGCAAAGAAAGAUGCCCAACGGAUUUACUUUACCAAAUUGACCAUCCCAGCCUUGCCGUAAUGGUCCAUUUGAUUCACCUUUUAUUGUUUAGUUUAUUUUCAUUUACUGAAUACGGGACAGACUUGACUGGGGGAAAGAAGGGGAGAAAGAAAGAGGGAAAGAGAAACAGCUGAGAAGAGGGACGGGGGAGAAGGGCAAAAGACAAAAACCAACAGAAUGAGCAGAAAAAAAAAAAGAAGAAAAAAAUGCAUAUAUCAAUCACCUGGAUCACCUGCUGAGAAAGAAAAAAGAAAACAAGCAGAAGAGAACAAGAGUGAUUGAUAUAUGCAUUUUUUUUCUUUUUUUCUUCUUUUUUUUCUUUUUCUGCCCAUUCUGUUGGUUUUUGGUUUUUGCCCUUCUCCCCCGUCCCUCUUCUCAGCUGUUUCUCUUUCCCUCUUUCUUUCUCCCCUUCUUUCCCCCAGUCAAGUCUGUCCCAUGUUCAGUAAGUGAAAAUAAAAUAAACAAUAAAAGGUGAAUCAAAUGGACCAUUACGGCAAGGCUGGGAUGGUCAGUUUGGUAAAGUAAAUCCGUUGGGCAUCUUUCUUUGCCUUUAGACAACAAUUCUGAUGGCAAAAGAGCCAAACGGGACAGGCCAAAAAAAAAAAAAAAAAAAAAAGAUGGUCACUCACAGUGGACAUAGAUGGCUUCUUUCACUCCUCUUUCAAACCAUCUGUCCUCUCUGUCCAAAGUGUGAACAUUGGCAUCCUCGAAAGAGUGUCCUUUAUCCUUAAGAUGCAGAUGGACUGCUGAGUCUUGUCCUGUGGAGGUGGCUCUUCUAUGUUGUGCCAUUCGCUUGUGAAGUGGCUGUUUGGUCUCUCCAAUGUAGAGGUCUGGGCAUUCCUCGCUGCACUGUACAGCUACACCUUAGAAAUGAAGAAGCUUCUCGGAUGAGAGGUGAAACGUCUUCAAGCAACCUAAAUAAGUCCAGACACUUUUCUUUGCAAGCUCCUUAGACUACGAUGACCUGGAUGACUGAGAACCUUCACAGACACUUUACCAUCAUGGUUUUUGUCUUUCUGUGCAAUUAAAAAAACAUCAUCUUCUUGGGACACCAAGUGAAAUAAAGUUCACCAGAAGAAAAAGGCAUAUUUUCAUCGUGUGUUACUAGCCAAUGUGUUCUACAUUCCUACAGGUUUCACUUUAUUAAAACAUAUACUCAUUUGGAAUUUGAUGCAAGCUCUGUGAUAGAUUGUGACAGUACUAAAGACUAUUUCUACUAUUUUUAAUUCAUCAUAAUGUCACCUCUUCUUCUGACAAUGCUUUGUAAGUGUUGUGGAACUCAGUCGUGGUUUAGCAUUGCAGCAUAAAUCAUUAAGUAUUAAUGAUGUUUUUCAAAUGUUCAAAUUAACCAUGAUUAUAUAUACUCUGAACUGUCUUUUCCUAUUGCAGCAAUGCCUGACAGCCCAAAUAAUCUCCAUUCAGUGUCCCUUUUUA
ensembl:lncRNA